AACGAACGCUGGCGGCAGGCCUAACACAUGCAAGUCGAGCGAAGCCUUCGGGCUUAGCGGCGGACGGGUGAGUAACGCGUGGGAACGUGCCCUUUGGUACGGAAUAGCCCCGGGAAACUGGGAGUAAUACCGUAUGUGGUCGAGAGACGAAAGAUUUAUCGCCAAAGGAUCGGCCCGCGUUGGAUUAGGUAGUUGGUGGGGUAAUGGCCUACCAAGCCGACGAUUCAUAGCUGGUUUGAGAGGAUAAUCAGCCACACUGGGACUGAGACACGGCCCAGACUCCUACGGGAGGCAGCAGUGGGGAAUCUUAGACAAUGGGGGAAACCCUGAUCUAGCCAUGCCGCGUGAUCGAUGAAGGCCUUAGGGCUGUAAAGAUCUUUCAGUGGGGAAGAUAAUGACUGUACCCACAGAAGAAGCCCCGGCUAACUCCGUGCCAGCCGCCGCAGUAAGAC
rnacentral:rRNA from 1 species